rnacentral:rRNA from 1 species
UGGUAAGGUAACGGCUUACCAAGGCGAUGGUGCAUAGCCGAGUUGAGAGACUGAUCGGCCACAAUGGAACUGAGACACGGUCCAUACUCCUACGGGAGGCAGCAGUAGGGAAUCUUCCACAAUGGGCGCAAGCCUGAUGGAGCAACACCGCGUGAGUGAAGAAGGGUUUCGGCUCGUAAAGCUCUGUUGUUGGAGAAGAACGUGCGUGAGAGUAACUGUUCAUGCAGUGACGGUAUCCAACCAGAAAGUCACGGCUAACUACGUGCCAGCAGCCGCGGUAAUACGUAGGUGGCAAGCGUUAUCCGGAUUUAUUGGGCGUAAAGCGAGCGCAGGCGGUUGCUUAGGUCUGAUGUGAAAGCCUUCGGCUUAACCGAAGAAGUGCAUCGGAAACCGGGCGACUUGAGUGCAGAAGAGGAUAGUGGAACUCCAUGUGUAGCGGUGGAAUGCGUAGAUAUAUGGAAGAACACCAGUGGCGAAGGCGGCUGUCUGGUCUGCAACUGACGCUGAGGCUCGAAAGCAUGGGUAGCGAACAGGAUUAGAUACCCUGGUAGUCCAUGCCGUAAACGAUGAGUGCUAGGUGUUGGAGGGUUUCCGCCCUUCAGUGCCGGAGCUAA